rnacentral:rRNA from 1 species
UAAGGUGGUUAUAGCGUUGGGGAUCCACCUCUUCCCAUUCCGAACAGAGAAGUUAAGCCCAAUGGCGCCGAUGGUACUGCAUCAUUUGUGGGAGAGUAGGUAGCCGCCGUCCU